AACGAACGCUGGCGGCAUGCCUAACACAUGCAAGUCGAACGAGACCUUCGGGUCUAGUGGCGCACGGGUGCGUAACGCGUGGGAACCUGCCCUUAGGUUCGGAAUAACUCCCCGAAAGGGGUGCUAAUACCGGAUAUGUUCUCCGACCAAAGGUUUAUCGCCUUUGGAUGGGGCCGCGUUGGAUUAGCUAGUUGGUAGGGUAAAAGCCUACCAAGGCGACGAUCCAUAGCUGGUCUGAGAGGAUGAUCAGCCACACUGGGACUGAGACACGGCCCAGACUCCUACGGGAGGCAGCAGUGGGGAAUAUUGGACAAUGGGCGAAAGCCUGAUCCAGCAAUGCCGCGUGAGUGAUGAAGGCCUUAGGGUUGUAAAGCUCUUUUACCCGGGAUGAUAAUGACAGUACCGGGAGAAUAAGCUCCGGCUAACUCCGUG
rnacentral:rRNA from 1 species